rnacentral:lncRNA from 1 species
UUAAGGGCAACAUGAUUGGAAGUUUUAGGGUUUAAUUAAACUUUGGAAUUAAUCUAAUUAAGCUUGGAAUUAAUUUAAUUAAUCAAGUCAAGGGUUUAAUUGAAAAACGGAUAAGUUUUGAGACUUAAUUAAGCUUGAAAUUAAUUUAAUUAAUCCAGUUAAGGUUUUAAUUUGAGAAUUGAUAAGUUUUGAGACUUAAUUAAGCUUGGAAUUAAUUUAAUUAAUCCAAUCAGGGGCUUAAUUGAAGAAAUAACAAAGUUUGGAGUUAAUUGGGGGCACGAUUGCAACAGCUUAAAGUCCAAGGAUUAGUUUGUAAAAAACGCCGAAAUACAGGGGUCCAAUUACAAUUUAUCCAGGGGCUUGAUUACACGAUUCCAGAACUUCAGUGACUGGAUUGCAAAUGGCCAUUCCCAUCACACAAAAGGCGCCGUUUCUAGAAAUCAGCCGUCGCCUUCUUCGUCUCCUUCCACAGGAACGGUUUCUGCAGUAAUGGCUUUGAAGCCGUUUCAAUUGUAGAGAUGCUUGGCAUUCUCUGGCUAUAAAGCCAGAGAAGAUGAGAGAGCGCGAGGGGGAAGGAAUCACAGAACCGGAGGGGGACUAAAAACGAAGGAAGAAGAGCAGACAUGCAUUCCUCUGUUUCUUCUCAAAGAAACAGAGGAGGCUAAAGAAAAAGCCACGAACAAAAGGAAGUAAACAGAGAGCUAAACCCAUCUUCAGUUUAGUCCCAGAAUUCAAUCACAACAUAUGAACAGAAGAGGAAAGCAGAGGAGAGCAGAGAGUAAGUAAAAAAACCCAACAAACAGAAACGCAAGAACAGAAACUGUACAGAGGGGAGCAAGUUUUCUGCCCCUGUUUCUUCUCACAGAAACAGAGGCGUUCGUGCCUCACGAUCGUGAGGCACGAACGCGUGAAGAAAGGCCAUUCUCUGGCCACAGCAGGGGAAUCACGGAACCAAGGACAUCCAGAGAGCAGAGAGAACCCGAAGAAAUACCCAGAGGCUAAAAAUCCCAGACGGAAAAAACCCAGUAGACAGGGGGAAAGCUAAGCCCAGACACGAAAAAACCAGGGAGAGACCGGAGAAAAAACUGCUGAAAAACCAAAGCAGAGAAUACACGAAGAAAAGCCAGGGGAAGGAGACAGAGACAGAAACAGGGGAAGAGAACAAAAAGCCAACGUACCCCAGCUUCGCCUUCAUCUUCAGAACACAAACACAGUGAGCAGACGAAAAACCAGAGAAGAAAAACGCAAACAAAACCAGAGGAAGAAGCUUAAAAAAACGAAGAGAGGACCAGCAUCACCACCGACUGCCUCUUCUCCAGCACCAGCUUCCAAAACCAAAGGAAGAAGCUAAAAAGGAGAGAGGAACAAGCAGCUGACAGAAGGAAUACACCGAAAGAAGGGAAACGAACGAACACAGGGAUCUUGAGGCAAGGAUAGACGACCAAGAAAGACUGAAAAAAUCCGGAUCGCCAUUUCCAGCACCAGGUAAGUUGCGCUUUCCCUUCUUGCAUUUUAAUUACAUGCUCCUAUAGCAGGCGUGCGUGAACUGCUCACGCACGCCUGCUGGUAAAAAAAAUGGCCAGCCGGGUCAAGCCUGUGACCCGGCUAGGCCUGCUGGGUCCAGCCCAGCCACAUGGGCUGAGCUGGGCCCAGCCCCCAAAAAAUAAAAAAAAUAGAAAAUAGAAAAUAAAAAAAUAUAAACAUAUAAAAAAUAAAAAAUUAUGCAUGCAUAUAUUUAAAUUUAUUUUUAUUUGGUUUAUUUAAAGAGCUAGAGUCAGCAACACCAUUCAUUUUUGUUUUGAGUUACGUAAUACUUACCAACGCCAGAGUUGGAAGUAUCCGUAGUCGAAUAUUCACUGACGCCAGAGUCAAGAAUAUUAUAAACAAAUCAUCAUAGCAUAAACUAAUAAAUAUUUAGCAAUUUAAGACAAAACCAACAAUGCAGUCUGCCUUAGGCAGAACGUUUAAGGGGUGAUAAUAUCUUUCCUUUUACGUAACCAAUCCCGAGCCAUAGAAUCUCUGUUGACCAGUUAGGGUUCCUAGUGACCAUAAUACUAGGUGGCGACUCCUCAAACAAGACAUUUUCCCCUAAAAGAAUCAGAUGCCAGAAAUCUGUUCUUUUUCCAUAAUAUAAAUCAAGAGAACCAUUAUUUUUUAGGGCCGCCGCGAUGUCGGGUGCGACACAUCUCCCAAAAAAUGUGAGUGCCUCCUAUUUAGUAGUUCAUGCAUAGCAUGUGUCAACAACUUUUAUUUUUUUUAAUUAUAUUUAUAUUUAUCAAAAGAUUAAAUUGCCCCUCAUUCAAAAUUGAUUAUAACUAAAAAAAAAUCAUGAAAUAUAAAAAAGUCACUCGACAUCAGUUUAAAAUUUUUACUUUAAAGAGAAAUGUAGUUAUUUCAUUGUGCAAUCAAAGCAUUAAAAGACCAAAAAUCCUUUGGAUCCUAGUUUUAAUUUCAUUGUUUUUUGCUUUUAAGUAUAUUUAAGUUAUUUAAUUGUGUAUAUAAAAUGUUAAAAGACCGAUUUGUCUCUAAUCAAUAUAAUAAUAACAAAUAGACCUUAUAAAAAAGACUGGUUUGCCAUCAAUAAUUACUUAAGUGAUUUUGUUUGAGAAUGGAAAAAAAAUAUAAUUUUAAUGUUUCAAUCUAUAGUAAUAUAUGUUUAGGUGUACAAUGAAAAAUUAAAAUCUUUUAUUUUUUUAUAAUUAUAAUAUGCAUCAUUAUAAUAUGUGAUCAAAGCAAUUGAAGUGCAUUAUCUUCUAAAAAAAUACAUAAAGAAUCUUGAUUAUUGUUAUAAAACUUGACUAAAUGUAUCAAUUAUGUGGGAUCUUGUCGAACUUGAAUUUUAUAUCAAAUUAGGUUUGGAGUUCACUUGGUCAAAUUUAAUUUUGGUUUGAAUUUUAUAUCAAGCCAUGGAUUGGGCUAGGUUUUGUAGAAAUGAAAGAAAGUCUAUCAAUUGUUUAUGGCAAGGGCAUAAAUUACGUAUGAUCCAAUAUAGAAACACACAGAAGACAGAGAUCCAUAUACGUGGGAACAAAGGCUGGGCUAAGGGAGCUUAAACUCAUAUGAUAAAAGUAUUAUAUUAAUGAUAUAACACAAAAAUAAUUUAAUGGAAUAUUUUACUUCUCCUAGUUUGUGGUAAAGUAAGGCAGUGUUUAUUUUUGUGGUGGCACCGUAUUUUUUUUAAAAUCAUUUUAAAUAUUUUUUGGUAUUUUUAGAUUGUUUUCAUAUACUAAUAUAAAAAAUUAAUUUAAAAAAACAUUAUUUUUAGAUUGAAUCAAGAGGGUUUUGGAUGUGUUGGGAUAAAUCAUAAAAAUAUGCUUUGAAGAGUUCAGGAGUUGCUACCUAAUAUUAUGGUCACUAAGAAAUCUAAUGAUCCGCGACAAUUUGGAUGGAGGGACUAGUUGCGCAUGAGAAAAAUACAUCACCCCCAGUAUACCCUACCUUUGAUAAGCCGCGUUGUUGAUUGAUUGUUUUUUCUAAGAUCAUGUUUUUAUGUUUUUAUUCGUUGAUCUAUCUAAGAUCCAAGAAAAUUUUUCUUGGUAAAGAAAUCCUUAUUUUAUUAGGAUAAAACCUAACCUUUCUAAAGUCCAAAAGAAAUGGGUAAAAUACAUAUCCCAAGCUUAAACAAAAUAAUUUUUGUGGUGCUAUUUGUUUUUUGAAAUUCUGGUCAAAUCUUAACAGAUAAUCACAAACUUGUUGUGAUACUCAUUAAUUGAUCUUUUUCGUAUUUCUUCAAGUAUGAUAGAAUACAAUUUUUAUUUUUUUAUAAAAUAUGGAUGAAAAUUAUAGAAUUUGAUACUUUGAUUUUAUUUAAUUUAGUCCUUGGAAAAGUCUGGAACAACUCCUAAUGUUACGUGUCUUUUGCAGAAAGGUCCUUGGUUUUGAGUUCUUUCAAUUUGGUUCAACCUCUAUACUCUGAUUUUCUUGCAAUUUCGCCCUUGAUUCCAUCCAAUGAACUUUGUAAAAAUUAAAUAUGGUCCUCUAAAAUUUUAAUUUUCUCAAUUAAGUUAACCUUGAAUUUGCACUGUCCAAUUAAGUCCUUGCAAACUAGGCUUCCAGACUUAAUUUAUCACCAAUUAUGCUUUUAAUAAAAUUAAUUUUAUCAAUUAAAAAUCUAAUGAAGUUCUUACACUUAAUUAAUUCUUUUAAUUUCAGCCUAAGUUAAUUUCCAAACUUAAUUAAAUCUUUAAUUAGGCUCAUGAUUAAAUCAAAUCAGUCUAUUAAAUAUCUAAUUAAAUUCUUAAACUUAAUUUUUAUGCAAAUUCGUUCAAUAUUCACAUUAAGUUAAUUUUGAAUUUGCAUUUAGAUCCUUCAAAGGUUCAAUUGAGUUUUCAAUAUUGUCAAAGAUUCAGUUUGGUCUGUCUAUCCCUCAUUUAUGCAUAUAGAUCUCUCUUCAACUUGUUCUUGUCAUCCAAGUCACUUGUCUUCUUGUAUAUUUUUUUUAUUUUUCAACCUUUUUUUGGUAUAAAAGAAAACAAUAAUUUUGGAGGAACUCGAAAUUAAGUUAUGAUAAUUUUGAUAUAUUUUCAAGAGAAAAAUAUUUUAAAUUAAAAACAACUGCUAUUACAAUAUCAAACGCUACCUAGGGCAAAAGAGUAAAUUUUGUUGAAGAGAUCAAAAGAGUAUAAUAUCAAACUUUGUUGAAGAAAAGUAUUAUAUUAAUGAUCUCUUCAACAAAAUCUUGAUCACCCCAAAUUAAUCUCAAGAAGUAGUAGAGGAUCUUUUGAGAGCUAGAGAGCAAGAUUUUGUUGAAGAGAUCAAAAGAGGGCAAACCAACCAUCAUAUAUAUGUUCACAAGACAAUGUUUUUUUAUUUUUUUGAGCCACCUUCCCUUAGCAAACCAUUUUUGUAUAUUUACCAUAAUUUCUCACGUGUAAAGCAAACUUUCAUAUCUUAAAAGGUUGGUCUAGCAUAUAUCAGCCGAAACUUAUUUGCUUUUUUCAGAUCUCAAGCUUAAACCCUUCAUUCAAUAAUAAUAAUAAAAAAAAAAACUUAUAGGAUCACGGGCCACAGGGUAUAAUAAAGCACCUUGUAUUUUUAGACUGCAAGGUUAGUCUGUUACUCGAAAACCAGCCUAUGAUACCCUGUGUUUUUUUUAAAAAAUAAAAAUUAUUGGUUCAUUUUUCCUUAUAAAAAAACUGAUGAUGGUAAGAUGAUUGUCGGUCCAGAUAUUCUUUGCUUGGUUUUUGGAAAGGUUAAAUGAACCAAGACAAAUGGUGGCAUAAAUCAGCUCAUGAGUUGGUGGGAGGCAAGAGUUCAGAGAAUUAAUUAAGAAUAUUGACUUCAAUUCUGUGUCUGGCUCCCUGCUGUUCCAAGACAACAAAGAAUAUUAAAUUAAACAUGUAAAUGAAAUCAAUUUGACUAAUUGGUGUAAUGAAUCUCAUGACUAUAUAAUAUCAUAUAUCAAGAAAAUAUAAUUUAUACGGUCCCAUAGAGUGAUCAGAAAACUGUUUUUUAGGGGGUGAAAUAUUCAAUUAUGAUGAGCAAUAAGAAUUAAUUAAUUACAUAAUGAUUAUAUAUUUAAUAUUGUUCUGGAAAAAAGAAAAAAACUAAUAUUUUAUCCAAUCUCUAUUUCUCUGUUGUCAUCUCUUAAGCAUCUUAGGUAAGAAUUAUUAUUUAUAUCGUUAAGGAUUUAUACCAACUAAAUUUACCAAUCACUUUAACAAGAAUCCAUUGAUUUUAGAUUUUUUAUUAUUAUUAAUGUGGAUGCCCGGACCAGUAUGCGUACACCUCGAUUAAUUUCACGGGUCCUGAAGUUAACGACUAUAUAAGCCUCUAAUAGAUUUAAGAUUUAUAAAACUCGAACUGGUAAUCUAUAAAAUACAAAUCUAAAAUCUGAUGAAUUAAAUUAUACUUUUAUAUUAGUCCUUCAAAGAAUAAAUGAAUGAUGCAAUUUCACUUGUAUAUCAAUUGUUUAAUUUUAACUUUGAACCUUUAUAAUUUAUUAUUUCUUUCCUGCCACUUGCUUUCAACACCUCGUUGUGUUGGCAGAUUUUAUUUAGUGAUUUACCAUAAAAAAGGCUUGGGUUAAUGGGUAAUUUUUUUUAUUUGUUGAGAUUUUUUUAUUUAUUUAUGAAAGCCAUCUUUGCUUUUGAACUUCCGGUGGCAGCUUCACAUCUGUUGCCAAUCCAAUAGCUUGAAGAAACCUUACAACUUACCAAGUCAUGUCAAUCUGCCACCAUUCCAGGCCAUGCUUGGCUGAGUAUCAAAAGUAUGUCAAAAAUUGACCAUCCACGACGGCGUUAGAAUCUUCAUGAUGGAUGAAGUAUUGUGUGCGGUGGUCAAUGCGGUGAUAUGGCUUUGCUCAACUUUUUUUUUUAUUCUUUUUUCCUCCUUGAAAAACACGUUGCUUAAUAAUUGUUUUUAAUAUUAUCCUCUUAUUUUGUUUAAGUUUCUAAUUUAUUCUUCUUGAUUUUGAUUAUUUAAUUUUUAUCUUAUUUCUUUUAAAUUUGUUUUUGGUUUCACUAUUUAUUAAAAUGUUAUUUUUCCUCUUAUUUUUUUUUCAAAUUUGAUUAUUUUUAUUUUGAUUAUUUUUUUCCCGUUCCUUUUGUAAAGUAUAAAAGUUUUUUUUUCACUCUUAAAUCAAACAAUGCUAUUAUUUUUUUUUAUUAUGUUUUUGUUUAAUAUUUAAUUCUCAUUCUUUUAUAUUGCUCCUUUUGUUUUGGAAUUGUUUGUCAAAUUAUUAUUUUUCAAUUUCAUUAUUCAACCCUAAGUUGAUUAUGAAUUUAGAGUAAUCAUGAUUUUUUCUGGUUGGGUUACAUUGGGUUAAUGACUCAGGUUAUGUGUUUAAAAUGUUAACCUAGAUGCCGUCAGCCUUUAUUUUUAUUUUUAAAAAAAAAAAAAAUUUUGAGUUCGUUAUUUUUAAAAUUGAUUUUUUCUACUUUUUGUCAUUCAUCAUUUUUUAUUUAUUUUGCAUUUAGCUUUAUAACUUUUCAUGGCAUGCCUUUUAUUGUGUUGUCCAAUGCGCACAAUCUUAGUCAUGUUAUUUAGUAAGCUAAUCCAAGUUUGUUGGCUUUUUUUUCCAUUUUGUUAAUUAUUUGUUUAUUCAAUCAAGUCUUUCUACAUUGGGUUUGUUAAUAAUUAGAGCUUAAUUACAUGUCUUUUUGGUUUGCUUUCUGAGUUGUUAUCACAACCUCUCGAAUAAGUUGCGGGUUUGGUAGGCACAUUUGGAUUAACUUUGGUCAUAUUGUUUUUUAUUUUCUUUCUAUCGCACUUGAUUAAAUUGAAACUUAUCAUUGUUUAAUAAAUGCUUUUUCUUUAUCCCUGUUAUUUUUUUUUUUGACAUCUUAUUAGUUAAGAUAACUUAUUCAAUUUAGCCGAGUAUAUGAUCUAAAUCGUGAUUUUUUUAUUAUUUUUUUAUCAAAACACACUUAUCGUCUUUUAAUAUUCUUUUUUAAUGCUAUUUUUUUCCCCGGACCACGAGAUUAGUCAUGUCUAAAACAUAUUGACUCAUGGGAUAUGUUUAUACACACAUAUACAUCUGACAUAAGCUAAUUAAGUAAUAUUUAUAAUAAAUAAUUUUAAAUAUCAGAAAAAAUGAUAAAAAAUCUAAAAAUAAAAAUUUUUGAAGGCCUCGGUAGGGUUAAAAUUAAGAAUGUUGAAUUGGUCAAUUUUGUGUAUAAAAUAAUUGAUCAUAGGCUUUUCAGCCUAUUUGUAAGAUAUCAUUCGGCCUAGUGAAUCAACAUUCGGUUUGCAAGCAUAGAUUAAAUUUUGAAAAAAAAAAUUAAAAAGGACAUGUCCUAACUUUCCUCUGUGAGUAACCUAUAAUUAAUAUAUGUUGCCAUUUGUCUAGUAGAUUAAUUACAACCCAUCAAUCUUAAUGUGUAAUAUGUUGAAAUUAAUGAUGUGAUAAUGACUUCCAAUUGAACUCCUGCAAAUAUUUUAUAGCGAUUAUGAACCAUUUUCGUGUUUAAUAUUAUAUCAUGAAUCUGGGAAUAAAUUUUAAUAGAUAUCUCAAAAGAGACUCACAUUUCCUCCAAAUUAAGAUUUAAUUUUUUUCAAUAUUUUCGAAGUCCAAAUAUUCUGUGAAAAAAAAAACUGUACACCAUGCACGUAUAUAUAAUAGUAGAAUUAUAUUAUAUUCUUAAAAAGAAAAGCUUCUCAUAAUUUCAUUAAUGAUAUCACACACACACAAACUUCAAUUGUUGAAAGCCAUCCUUUGCUUUUGAACUUCCGAUGGCAGCUUCACAUCUGUUGCCAGUCCAAUAGCUUGAAGAAACCUUACAACAUACCAAGUCAUGUCAAUCUGCCACCAUUCCAGGCCAUGCCUGGCUGAGUAUUCAAAAGCAUGGUGAUUAUUAUGCCAACCUUCUCCAAAUGUAAGCAACGCAAGCCACCUUAA